rnacentral:rRNA from 1 species
UACGUAGGGGGCUAGCGUUGUCCGGAAUCAUUGGGCGUAAAGAGCGUGUAGGCGGUCCGGUAAGUCCGCUGUGAAAGUCGGGGCUCAACCCUCGAAUGCCGGUGGAUACUGUCGGGCUAGAGUGCGGAAGAGGCGAGUGGAAUUCCUGGUGUAGCGGUGAAAUGCGCAGAUAUCGGGAGGAACACCAGUGGCGAAGGCGGUCGUGCUGGGCCGUUGCUGACGCUGAGGCGCGACAGCGUGGGGAGCAAACAGG